UCCUGGGUGGCGCAGAUGGUUAACGUGCUCAACUGCUAACUGAGAGGCUGGAGGUUCUAAUCCACCCAUAGGCA
rnacentral:tRNA from 1 species